rnacentral:rRNA from 1 species
UACGAAGGGGGCUAGCGUUGUUCGGAAUUACUGGGCGUAAAGCGCACGUAGGCGGACUAUUAAGUCAGGGGUGAAAUCCCGGGGCUCAACCCCGGAACUGCCUUUGAUACUGAUAGUCUCGAGUCCGGAAGAGGAGAGUGGAAUUCCUGGUGUAGCGGUGAAAUGCGCAGAUAUCAGGAAGAACACCAAUGGCGAAAGCAGCUCUCUGGGACGGUACUGACGCUGAGACGCGAAAGCGUGGGGAGCGAACAGG